rnacentral:tRNA from 1 species
GGCUUGGUGGUCUAGUGGUAUGAUUCUCGCUUUGGGUAGUCAAAUCGACUUAAGCCUGCGAGAGGUCCCGGGUUCAAUCCCCGGCCAAGCCC